ACCUAAAAAGAGAACAAUAAAGAAGUUAUAGUACAGCUACAUAUGCCUAUAGUCACUUUAUAAUCUGCUUUAAAAAAAAAAAUCUUUUGAAUCCUCCAGAUUUGGUGAACGCGGACAUUUUUCUGACGAUAAUAGAUCUACUGCUAACAUUUUUGUUAAAGAAAAUAUAUCAUAAUGAUCUGCUAAUGAAAAAUGAAAUAUUGUCUAUAAACAUCAUUGGAUAUAGUGUGGAAAAUCCUCUAAUUCUAGGAAAGUCAAGUAUUUCCUUAUAGGAGGUCUUGUUAUUUAAUUCCUUACAUGUGUUUGUCUCUAACCUUAGCACAGCUAGUGUUUGAUUCCUUAUUCAAGACCACUUCACCAUGUUAACAUGGGGAUGUAUGUUUACAAAAUCAGUACAAGAGAAAAGAAGUAUUGCUUUCUCCAAAUGCUUUUAGAUAAAAUUUAGGAUAGGGUGCUAUUUUUCAACUUGAAAUAUGGACUUCAAAUAUUUGGUCUGUAAAAUACCAAUAUACCUUUCACGCUACUAUUAUUAUGAGCAAAAAGAAAUAUACUUUGACUAUUUCACUGGAGCGCGUUUUCACAUAAAGGCCAGCAGCACUAUCAUGGCAAGGUAAUUCUACACCAUCUCUCAUGAACAUGGAACAUGUAAGACCUACAUGAGAAGUUCAAGCAGCAUUCAGACAUAACAUGAGAAACGAUAAAUACAAGUUAGUAUAUCAUAAUAAUGAAUUUUUUGUCUAGUAUCCGUUAGAUCAAUACAUGGCAUUACAUCUCAUGGCCAUGGAAAUUAUUGAAGUUAAAACUAGGUCCAUUUCAGAAGUUAAUGUGGUCAAAAAUGAAAAUGAAAUUCUGUUUUACUUUUUGUCGUUUUCUUUCCCAAUCAAAUCUUCUGUAAGGAAAUGAACUUGCACCACUAAAAUACUUUGAUUCUCAACUUGGAUACUGGUACUAUCCAAAUGUUGGAUCUUUUAUUUUGUAAAAUGUAAGAUACAAGAACGUAGCUAAAAAGAAUCGAAAUUUCGGACACGGUUACGUGGAUAUGUCUUUCAAACUUCAAUUUUUUUACUAAUUCAAGAUGUUAUUUUAAAUAGACCAAAACCAGUUGUUCAUAAAGAAGAAAAUGAGCAUUAAAUAAGGAGUUAAACAAGUAAAAUAGAAUUUUGAGAUUUAGUUUUCAAAUGUAAGAAGUUAAUUACUAAAUAUUAUAUAAAGUAAAAAAUGCAGGACUUGAUUGCAAUUUUAGACUUAGUGAAGUACUAAGUAACACUAUAUGAAACCCAUUUUCAUAUUAUAUACAAACAAAAGCUGGGAACCACCAAUACAAAGAACAAAAAUGAGAAAGAAGAAAAAAGAAAGAGAGAAAAAGAAGUAGAAACGGCGCUAUGUUUCCAUUGCUGUGUCUGGUUGAAAUUUGAAGGAUCCGACAUAUAUCCCGUAUCCAUACCUGUGUCGUGUCGUGUUGACACGAGUACUUCGGCCAUUUCUAAGAGCCAAGUAUCACAACCAAAAUAUAUUAAAUUUACUCAACUCAUGAAUUUUUUUUCCAAAGUGAUUCUGACUCUUAUUAUUAAUUAAUAUAUAAGACAUCUAUGUACUAAUCUAGUUUCUGUUUGGCCCCCAUUUUUUGAAAAUGAAAAUGGGUGGAAUGGUAUUUUUUUUAAAAAUAAGUGGUUGAAAAAGAAAUAAAAGUUUUCGAUUUACGUGAAAUAUUAUUUUAUGGAAAAUUAUAUGGUUGAAAAUAGGAGAGAAAAAAAUGUAAUGUAAUGUAAUGAAAUUUAAUAAGGGCCUAAUUAAAUGACUGGCAAAAUAAAUUUUCUUGAUUCCCAAAAUUUAGGUUCCCAUGUA
rnacentral:lncRNA from 1 species